CCCUUAGAUGUCCGGGGCCGCACGCGCGCUACACUGAAGGAAUCAGCGUGGCUUUCUCCCUGACCCGAAAGGGUUGGGAAACCCGUUGAAUCUCCUUCGUGAUAGGGAUUGGGGCUUGAAAUUGUUCCCCAUGAACGAGGAAUUCCCAGUAAGCGCGAGUCAUAAGCUCGCGUUGAUUACGUCCCUGCCCUUUGUACACACCGCCCGUCGCUACUACCGAUUGAACGGUUUAGUGAGGGCCUCGGUGUGGUCUCGGCCCGCUCUUUACCGGGCGGCGCCGUUGGUCGAGAAGACGCUCGAACUUGAUCGUUUAGAGGAAGUAAAAGUCGUAACA
rnacentral:rRNA from 1 species